UGAGUAGGCCGGAUGGUCGCGGACGAUGUGCUGAAAAGCCUCGUACGAGGAAAGUCCGGGCUCCACAGGGCAAAGGUGCCGGAUAACACCCGGUGAAGGCGACUUUAAGGAAAGUGCAACAGAAAUAAACCGCCAUGCCAGAGGUUAGAUGUUGGAAGCAGUGAUAUUUGCAUCUUGUUUCCCGCCUCUAACCCCUGGCAUGGUAAGGAUGGAAAGGUGAGGUAAGAGCUCACCGGCCCGACGGCAACGAAGGGCGCUAUGUAAACCCCACCUGGAGCAACACCGUGAAAAGAAACCAUAAGGCUGCCCGCCUGUUUCUUAGAGGUGGCUAAAGCCUUGUAGCAAUACAAGGCGUAGAUAGAUGAUCAUUCAAGACAGAACCCGGCUUACAGGUCUGCUCAUUUU
rnacentral:RNase_P_RNA from 1 species